AUACUUACUGGCAGGGGAGAUACCAUGAUGACGAUGGUGGUUUUCCCAGGGCGAGGCUUACCCAUUGAACUUCAGAUGUACUGACCCCUGCAAUUUCCCCAAAUGUGGGAAACCUGACUGCAUAAUUUGUGAUAGCAGGGGAAAAAAAAAGUUGAAGUGUUUCAGAACUCACUUUACUUCUG
rnacentral:snRNA from 1 species